AUGGCCCUAAAAUUAGCUGGUGUGCCCAUGAAUUCUGAAGAAACAGGAAGAAGUUAUGUGUUCCCAGUGGAUGCAGAUUUGUGGUCAGGGUCUAUGGUUGUAUCAAUGGAGGGCAAAGGAGAGAUUGGAGGAAACUCUCCUCAGCAUCAGGAACAGAAGGCAGAGCUCAGGAUAACCUUCACAAUGGCCUGGUCCUGUUUUCUCUUCACAUUUAUUGUUCAUUUCACAGGAUCCUGGGCCCAGUCUGUGCUGACACAGCAGCCCUCACUGUCUGGGACUCCAGGACAGACAAUCACCAUCUCCUGCACUGGAAGCAGCAACAAUAUUGGUGGCUAUUAUGUGCAGUGGUACCAAAAGAUCCCAGAAACAGCACCUAAGCUCAUCAUCUAUGAUUAUAGCAAACAAAAUUCAGGAGUCUCUGAUCGCUUCUCUGGCUCCAAUUCUGGAAACUCUGCUUCACUGACCAUCACUGGGCUCCAGCCUGAGGAUGAGGCUGACUAUUACUGUCAGGCUUAUGACAGUAGCCUUGAUGCUCGCACAGUGCUCCAGGCUCAUGGGGAAUUGACAUUCUCAGUGGUUAUAACCAAUGUCUGGCAAACAUCUCAUCUUGCAAGGAGUCAUGCCGUAACAUCAAGGAAUAAUGGCAAAGAUGACAAGACCUUGUCCUAA